UUCCCAGAAGACCUUGGGUCAGCGGGGCCUCGGGUUGGCAGCCAGGCCCAGAUUGCAGUGUAGCCUUGAAGGGGCGCGAGCCGCCCGGCCUGCUGCGUCGUGACUCGCCGUGGACAGUGCAUCGGCCCCGAGGAGAGAGGGAGGCGCUGAUUGCCCAGGAUGCCUUCGGUCAGCGGGACCUCGGGGUGCAUGCCAGGCCCAGGGAGCAGUGUAGCCUUGAAGGGGCGCGAGCCGCCCGGCCUGCUCCCUGUCCCGCCGUGGACGGUGCAUCGGCGGCCCCGGGGAGAGAGAGGCGCUGAUUUCCCAGAAGACCUUGGGUCAGCGGGGCCUCGGGUUGGCAGCCAGGCCCAGAGAGCAGUGUAGCCUUGAAGGGGCGCGAGCCGCCCGGCCUGCUGCGUCGUGACUCGCCGUGGACAGUGCAUCGGCCCCGAGGAGAGAGGGAGGCGCUGAUUGCCCAGGAUGCCUUCGGUCAGCGGGACCUCGGGGUGCAUGCCAGGCCCAGGGAGCAGUGUAGCCUUGAAGGGGCGCGAGCCGCCCGGCCUGCUCCCUGUCCCGCCGUGGACGGUGCAUCGGCGGCCCCGGGGAGAGAGAGGCGCUGAUUUCCCAGAAGACCUUGGGUCAGCGGGGCCUCGGGUUGGCAGCCAGGCCCAGAUUGCAGUGUAGCCUUGAAGGGGCGCGAGCCGCCCGGCCUGCUGCGUCGUGACUCGCCGUGGACAGUGCAUCGGCCCCGAGGAGAGAGGGAGGCGCUGAUUGCCCAGGAUGCCUUCGGUCAGCGGGACCUCGGGGUGCAUGCCAGGCCCAGGGAGCAGUGUAGCCUUGAAGGGGCGCGAGCCGCCCGGCCUGCUCCCUGUCCCGCCGUGGACGGUGCAUCGGCGGCCCCGGGGAGA